AUACUCUGGUUUCUCUUCAGAUCGAAUAAUGCUUUCACUUUUUACUAAAGAUCCGUGGAGAGGAACAUCCAUGAGUUUCAAUACAUUUUUGAGGUUCUGCCCAUGCAGGGC